rnacentral:lncRNA from 1 species
GUUUUCUUCUUUGUAACAGCAACAAUGACCACGGCUCUGUGCCAUGGCAAUCACUGCUGAGUAUCUUCUCAUUAAUGCAGAACCUGUGCAGAACCACCAUCAGAUUCUCUCCACAGCGGGAGACCUGGCGCUCCAUGGCCAGGCGAAAGUCCUCCUUCACGCCUUUGGUGAUGCCUCGAGUUACAGUGUGGUGCCUGAGGUCAGCAAUAGGGAAACAGACAAAGACCAGGGGUUAGCACCAGCAUCGCUGAUCGCUGCUACUUGGGUAGGAAUAAAGCCUGCCCCAUAUCUAAGUAUAAUUUCAGAUAUUUUAAAAAGAACACAAGAAUAGCUGCAACCAACCAAACAUUCCAGCCCAUUUCUCUUCAGAAAGACUUAAAACUAGACAGACAUCUUUCUCACUCUAUAAAAGGUUACUUCAAACAUUUAAUUGUUCAGUAAAAUGCCACCUGCUUUGCCUUUGAAUCAAUGAAGCUCUGGUGUUAUGCAUCCCUACUGCUGACUGGUACACAAUUCAGUUACUUAGGGCCAAAUGGGUCCAGUCCACACUGGCUACAAAGAGCUCAUGUCCAGCCCGGCCAGCAGACCCUCCAGAGGCAGCAGCAAGGAGGGAGGAGACCUGAAUGAGCCAAUCACCCAAGUGAGCUCCCACCAUGGCCCCCGCAGCUGGUGCUCCCAGAAAGGUUCAGGGCUCCUGCACAGCCGGGGUCACAAGCACGUCUCUCUCCCCAGGACACCAGAAUAGGGCAGCUCCUCUAAAUGCUGUGCCCAUCUAGACUCUCAUAUGUUGAAGAAAACGCAGCGGGAGGUGGGGUCCUGACACAAGAAUGUGGCACAGGUCAGGAGAGAGAGGCAGAAUCUCUGAGGGGCAGAGGGAGUGGACUGCGUGGUCCUGCGCUGUCUGGGCACUCAGGGGAGACCUGCACAUGUGUGGAAGGGGUGGUGGGGACACAGGGAAAAAUGUCUCUUAACUACACCCCAAAGGUUGUGCUUUAGAAAAAGAAAUCACACAUGAAAUCCCAGGAAACGGAAGAAACAAAAUGAAGAAACGAAAAGAAAAAUCUAGCAAAAAUCAGUCAGCUCAGUUAAGAGGAAGGGAGUUUUACCUACUAGUUCAGCAAUUUGGUAGACUUAGACAAAUAAAAGUCACCUCUGUUUCCCACCCUGAUGCCUAAUUUCCCUCACACAAAGUUAUAAGGAUUGAAAAUGAAGAUUUUUUUAUGUUCUGGGCAAGAUAAAAGUGUUAAAAUUACUCUAAAAUGUUUCUGUUUUUAAAAACUUGUAUUAAUGAUCAUAUCAAAUAAGGACAACAGGAGUCACCAAAUUGUAAAACAACAGAUGAAAAGAAAAAAAAAAUCCAGCUUUGUUAGAUAAGUAAAGCUAUCACAGAACCUUCUAAUGCCCAUGGAUGUUUUAAAGAACUACAGGGGAAAACAGCAGGGCCGUGGGGUAAAUGCACACUUCUUUGUGACUAUCUCUCGUCAAAUCUGGAUGGGUAGCUCAGUAGUUAGGACAUAGCAUCGGUGAGGUCCCGCUAGGAUAGAUGCAAACCAUUUAUGCUGCCCUGAGAUACUGCUCUUCUGGGUCCCAGGCUGCAGCCUCAAACUGGAGCUGACCCUCUGACCAAGCGGAGGUUACUGGCACUUGCAGACAGUUAGCUAAAGGGCAAACCCUCCUUUUUUUUUCUUUCUUUCUUUCUUUUUUUUUUUUUGAGAUGGCAUCUUGCUAUCUUGCUGUGUCACCCAGGCUGAAGUGCAGUGGCAAUGAUCUCAGCUCACUGCCACCUCUGCCUCCUGGGUUCAAGCAAUUCUUGUGCCUCAGCCUCCCGAGUAGCUGGGAUUACAGGCAUAUGCCACCAGGCCUGGCUAAUAAACCCUGCUUUUAAUACCACUAAAAAUAUAACUAAAUGCUACAUCCUGCAGAUCAGGGUCCAAUUUGUAUUAUCUCCAUAUAUAAAGAGUGGCACAAUUCAAUUAUAUUUCUAUUAGAAGCACUAUCACUUUGGUAAGUUUGGAUGAAAAAGAGAAUUAGUAAGCUUUUGUGGUUUAAGAACAGGAUAAACCAGCUAAUAAAUGUGGCAUUUUAGCCUAUCAAAUAUUUUCAAUUCAGAAAGGUAAGGUCUGAAAAAACAUCAGUAGCAGGAAAAAAAACACAUUAGUGCCUAUUUAGAUACCAGGCAACUAAUUGCUAAUAUGACCAUAAUGACUGGUCACUCAUAUGAGUAUCCACAAAUAAAAAUGUACUUAAAAUAAACGUCAGCAUCCUUAAAUAUAUAUGACCGAAAGCCUUAACGUUUUAUCAAAAGAGAAUCAUGGUGCACCUAAGCUAAUGUGCACUUAAUUGAAUACAGAUUUAUAUAGCUUUCAUUGUUUUUUCCAGAUCCAUAAUGAUUUUUAAAUCGAACACAAACACACUGGCAACUUAUGGAAAAAAAAUAAGAAAUGUUACAAUAUUACAACCAGAUGGUUUGCCAAAAUGCGGAACAAAUUAAAAAAGAAAGAAAGCAUGAAAAAGAGCACUGAGGAACGAAGAGCUGAGAACCAUGGGCAGCGAACAUGUUGACAAACAGCACACUAUGAGCGGGCGUUGAUUCCACUUGGUACCUGUCAGCAGUCUGUAUGCUGGGCUGAAGCACAGGUAAGAAUUCCUGCUGCAGUAACCCCAUGGGAGGGCUAGAAGGCCUUUAAAAAAC